rnacentral:lncRNA from 1 species
UUGGAUCUUCAAGUAUGGUAUGCUUUAUUAUGCUUUACGCUAAAUGAUUUACGCUUGAUUACGCUUAUUUACGCUUGAAUGCUUUACGCUGAUAAGUUUAUGCCUGUGUUUGAUGCUUGCGUCUGUUGGGGGAGGCCUCCCUCAACAGUACGAUGCCGUGUCCGCUGAGGAGGGCCUUCCUCACGGCGCGAUGCCCGUGUCCGCUGAGAGAGGCCUCUCUCGCGGCGCGAUGCCAGUAUGCCAGUAUGCCAGUGUUACAGCGUCUAUUGGGGGAGGCCUCCCUCAAUAGUACGAUGCCGUGACCGCUGAGGGAGGUCCCCCUCACGGCGCGAUGCCCGUGUUCGUUGGGGAAGGCCUUCUCCACGACACGAUGUUUGUUAAUGAAGAUUGAUGAUGAAGAAUGCCCUUAUGCUAUUUAUGAAUUUGGAAAUGUUUAAUGAGCAAAGGAUAUGAAAGAAACUCAUGCCUCUUAUGCGAUAUUGUGAAAUUGUUAAUGAUGUUAUGUUAUAUGCUUGGCAACUGCCCACUGAGUACUCUUGUACUCAGCCCUUCGUAUGUUUAUGUUUGUGCAGGUUGAGCUGUGAUGGGCGAUGAAGUGUUGUUACUGAGUAGAGCUUUUGUCGAACUUAAAGUAGGCUCAGAAAGGAUACAUGUCUUCAUACAUGUAUCUCAGUUAUGCUUUCCGCUGUAAACACUGAUUUUUUUUUAGUUACACCUUCCGUUGCAAACUCUGAUAAUGUUUUAGCCAAGCCCCUAACGAUGCCUUUUUCCUUUUAAGGAAUAUAACGCGUAUACAAGUUCUUUGAGUACCC